GAUGAAGAACGUAUCGAAAUGCGAUACUUGGUGUGAAUUGCAGAAUCCCGUGAACCAUCGAGUCUUUGAACGCAAGUUGCGCCCGAAGCCUCGGCUAAGGGCACGUCUGCCUGGGCGUCACGCAUCGCGUCUCCCCCAAACCGCCAAGGCGGAGGGGAAGGAAGAUGGCUUCCCGUGCCUCACCCGGGCGCGGUUGGCCUAAAUUUGGAGCCCGCGGCACUUAGCUCUCGCGGCGAUAGGUGGUGAACAAGGCCUUGGCCGUGCAAACAACCCGCUGCGAAGCUCUAUGUCACGUGCGCUCGUCGGACCCUUUGAAGUUGCCUUCGGUGACUUAAAACCUUUGCGACCCCAGGUCAGGCGGGGCUACCCGCUGAAUUUAAGCAUAUCAAUAAGCGGAGGA
rnacentral:misc_RNA from 1 species